rnacentral:rRNA from 1 species
UACGUAGGGUGCAAGCGUUAAUCGGAAUUACUGGGCGUAAAGCGUGCGCAGGCGGUUUUGUAAGUUUGUCGUGAAAUCCCCCGGGCUCAACCUGGGAAUUGCGAUGAAGACUGCAAGGCUAGAAUCUGGCAGAGGGGGGUAGAAUUCCACGUGUAGCAGUGAAAUGCGUAGAGAUGUGGAGGAACACCGAUGGCGAAGGCAGCCCCCUGGGUCAAGAUUGACGCUCAUGCACGAAAGCGUGGGGAGCAAACGAGGAUUAGAGUACC